AGCGAACGCUGGCGGCAGGCUUAACCCAUGCAAGUCGAGCGGGCAUCCUUGUGGUGUCAGCGGCAGACGGGUGAGUAACGCGUGGGAACGUGCCCUUCGUUUCGGAAUAACUCAGGGAAACUUGAGCUAAUACCGGAUACGUGCGAGAGCAGAAAGGUUUAUCUGCCGAAGGAUCGGCCCGCGUCUGAUUAGCUAGUUGGUGAGGUUAUGGCUCACCAAGGCGACGAUCAGUAGCUGGUCUGAGAGGAUGAUCAGCCACACUGGGACUGAGACACGGCCCAGACUCCUACGGGAGGCAGCAGUGGGGAAUAUUGGACAAUGGGGGCAACCCUGAUCCAGCCAUGCCGCGUGAGUGAUGAAGGCCUUAGGGUUGUAAAGCUCUUUUCUCCGGGACGAUAAUGACGGUACCGGAGGAAUAAGCCCCGGCUAACUUCGUG
rnacentral:rRNA from 1 species